GAUGAAGAACGCAGCGAAAUGCGAUAAGUAGUGUGAAUUGCAGAAUUCAGUGAAUCAUCGAAUCUUUGAACGCACAUUGCGCCAUUUGGUAUUCCAAAGGGCAUGCCUGUUCGAGCGUCAUUUGUACCCUCAAGCUUUGCUUGGUGUUGGGCGUCUUGUCUCUAGCUUUGCUGGAGACUCGCCUUAAAGUAAUUGGCAGCCGGCCUACUGGUUUCGGAGCGCAGCACAAGUCGCACUCUCUAUCAGCAAAGGUCUAGCAUCCAUUAAGCCUUUUUUUCAACUUUUGACCUCGGAUCAGGUAGGGAUACCCGCUGAACUUAAGCAUAUCAAUAAGCGGAGGA
rnacentral:misc_RNA from 1 species